rnacentral:rRNA from 1 species
AGAGUUUGAUCCUGGCUCAGAUUGAACGCUGGCGGCAUGCCUUACACAUGCAAGUCGAACGGCAGCACGGGGGCAACCCUGGUGGCGAGUGGCGAACGGGUGAGUAACAUAUCGGAACGUGCCCUGGAGUGGGGGAUAACUAGUCGAAAGAUUAGCUAAUACCGCAUACGAUCCACGGAUGAAAGUGGGGGAUCGCAAGACCUCAUGCUCGUGGAGCGGCCGAUAUCUGAUUAGCUAGUUGGUGGGGUAAAGGCCUACCAAGGCAUCGAUCAGUAGCUGGUCUGAGAGGACGACCAGCCACACUGGGACUGAGACACGGCCCAGACUCCUACGGGAGGCAGCAGUGGGGAAUUUUGGACAAUGGGCGCAAGCCUGAUCCAGCAAUGCCGCGUGAGUGAAGAAGGCCUUCGGGUUGUAAAGCUCUUUUGUCAGGGAAGAAGCGGUGAGGGCUAAUAUCCCUUGCUAAUGACGGUACCUGAAGAAUAAGCACCGGCUAACUACGUGCCAGCAGCCGCGGUAAUACGUAGGGUGCAAGCGUUAAUCGGAAUUACUGGGCGUAAAGCGUGCGCAGGCGGUUGUGCAAGACCGAUGUGAAAUCCCCGGGCUUAACCUGGGAAUGGCAUUGGUGACUGCACGGCUAGAGUGUGUCAGAGGGGGGUAGAAUUCCACGUGUAGCAGUGAAAUGCGUAGAGAUGUGGAGGAAUACCGAUGGCGAAGGCAGCCCCCUGGGAUAACACUGACGCUCACGCACGAAAGCGUGGGGAGCAAACAGGAUUAGAUACCCUGGUAGUCCACGCCCUAAACGAUGUCAACUAGUUGUCGGGUCUUAAUUGACUUGGUAACGCAGCUAACGCGUGAAGUUGACCGCCUGGGGAGUACGGUCGCAAGAUUAAAACUCAAAGGAAUUGACGGGGACCCGCACAAGCGGUGGAUGAUGUGGAUUAAUUCGAUGCAACGCGAAAAACCUUACCUACCCUUGACAUGGCAGGAAUCCCGGAGAGAUUCGGGAGUGCUCGAAAGAGAACCUGCACACAGGUGCUGCAUGGCUGUCGUCAGCUCGUGUCGUGAGAUGUUGGGUUAAGUCCCGCAACAAGCGCAACCCUUGUCAUUAGUUGCUACGAAAGGGCACUCUAAUGAGACUGCCGGUGACAAACCGGAGGAAGGUGGGGAUGACGUCAAGUCCUCAUGGCCCUUAUGGGUAGGGCUUCACACGUCAUACAAUGGUACAUACAGAGGGCCGCCAACCCGCGAGGGGGAGCUAAUCCCAGAAAGUGUAUCGUAGUCCGGAUUGCAGUCUGCAACUCGACUGCAUGAAGUUGGAAUCGCUAGUAAUCGCGGAUCAGCAUGUCGCGGUGAAUACGUUCCCGGGUCUUGUACACACCGCCCGUCACACCAUGGGAGCGGGUUUUACCAGAAGUAGGUAGCUUAACCGCAAGGAGGGCGCUUACCACGGUAGGAUUCGUGACUGGGGUGAAGUCGUAACAAGGUAACCA